rnacentral:rRNA from 1 species
GACGUAGGGUGCGAGCGUUGUCCGGAUUUAUUGGGCGUAAAGAGCUCGUAGGCGGCUCGUCGCGUCGACCGUGAAAACCCGCGGCUUAACUGCGGGCUUGCGGUUGAUACGGGCGGGCUAGAGUUCGGUAGGGGAGACUGGAAUUCCUGGUGUAGCGGUGAAAUGCGCAGAUAUCAGGAGGAACACCGGUGGCGAAGGCGGGUCUCUGGGACGAUACUGACGCUGAGGAGCGAAAGCGUGGGGAGCGAGCAGG